rnacentral:lncRNA from 1 species
CUCUCUCGCGAGAUCUCACUAAGGAGCGACGUGUGACUUGGGCAGCACUAUUAAGAACAAGCUCUCCUGUGUGUUGGUUUGUCUGCUUCUAAUUUCCCAGCUACGACAGCAGACACGUCAUCGCAAACAGUGUGACAAUACAUUGCCCUUCGCGUUAUGUUUGCAGGUUAUUUCGGUUGCACACACACACCGCAUUUGUGGGCCGAAUGAUGUGUACUUGAUUUCGACAUUUCCAUGGAGAAUUACUGACUGGCCACUACUCUCCGAUUAAAUGAACUGCUAAGAACAAAGGUUAUUUUGGUUGCGCACACACCGCAUUUGUGGGCUGAACGAUGUAUUUGAUUUCGACAUUUCCAUGGAGAAUCACUGACGGGCCACCACUCUC